GAAAUUUAUAAUAAUAAAAUAUUAUUAUUCACGAAGCCAGGCGAGCUAAAUCCUAUUUUUUAUUAGCAAAUGAUUGUUAGUGUAUCAAUACUAAUAUAAUACAAGAAUUUAGGGGCGAAAGGCCUUUCAAGUCUGUCAAUAUCUUGAUUGUAAGUAAAGGUAUUUAGUAUAGAAUUAACCUAAAAAUGAUAAGGUUUUUAGGGUUCAUAAUUUUAAACUUCUGAUUAACUGAAUGUGUAAAAAUUCCUGUUUAAAUUAAGUAGAACAUAGAUUGUUAAAAAUAUAUGUAUAUUACUUAUAUUUUUAAAUUGACAUAGAUUUUAAACUAAAAAUGAUUUCAUUAGUAUUUUACUUAUUUUUUUUUAAGGAACUCGGCAAAAAUUUUUCUCGACUGUUUAACAAAAACAUUGCUUUAAGUUAUUAUUUCAAGUUUACCCUGCUCAAUGAUACUAAUUAAAUAGCCGCAGUACCCUGACUGUGCAAAGGUAGCAUAAUCAAUUGGCUUAUAAUUGAAGUCUAGUAUGAAUGGGAAUCCGGGAAUAAGCUAUCUAAAAAAAAUUCUUAGAACUUACUUAAUAAGUGAAAAUUCUUAUAUUUAGAAAAAAGACGAGAAGACCCUAGAAAUUUUUAAUAGAACUUUUGUAUAUUACAUAAAAUAUUUUGUUGGGGCGACAUGGUAACAUUUAUUAUAUGGAACUUACCAAAAAAUUUUAAGGAAUUAUUUAAUAGAAUACAUAAAUUACUCUAGGGAUAACAGCAUAAUUUAUUAUUAAGAUUUUGACCUCGAUGUUGGACUAGGAAAUUAUUUACUUAAAAGGUAAAUAAGAAAGCUCUGUUCGAGCUAUAUUUACCUACAUGAUCUGAGUUCAGACCGG
rnacentral:rRNA from 1 species